AUGAGGGAGGCAUUGGUGGGCAAUGAUAGGAGACCCGGGAAACCUGGGUUGGAUCCUUGAGCCAAACGAGUUUUACUAGUAAUUUCACCGUCAUGCCUACGGACGGGUGGGUUACUGGGUUUUCCACGGAAUUGGUGGUGGACUCGGAUUACUCUCGGAGUACUUCGUUUGUCCCGUGGAUGCCCGACAGUGCUCGGGAUUGAUUCUGUUAACCGCUAAAAAAAAAAAAAAAAAACCAUAAAAGAUCCCAACUUUAGGUUAAUUUUACGAUGAAUCGAUAGCACCGUCUUAUUUGAUCUGAUGAUUUAAUAUUAAAAGAGUUGCAAUUAAGCAGAUUUGAAAAUCUAUUGUUGGACGAUUCAAUGCCUGGAGAUUCAGUGGUGAUAUGAUCUUGCAAAUGAAUCAAGUCUAACUUUAGUACCCAGUGAAGAGUUUUUUUGAAAGGAGUUCGAGCGCGAUUUGAUUAAUAUAUAUGGGCUAAUAAUUGGGGCAAAAUGAUCUUAUGUUUUGAAUCACCAAGGAGAUGGAGGAAACACAAACAAACGGAGCUUCUAAAUUUUAAAAGUUGCAUAGUGAGCAACUGAGCAUCAGGUCGGGGAUUCCGGAGCACAGAGAGUGGCACAAGUUCUAUGGUCAACUGGGAAUCUCGUUGAGCCGAUUCCUAGCGGGUUCUAUUCUAUUUUACGGGUAAGUCAAUCAGAUCAUCGUAACAUUAUGGUUUAUUGUAAAACAGUUUAUAUGUUUAUAGUUUUUAGGAAAGAAGACUUAAAGAGAAGUUUGACAUGAUUCCAUCUCUUGAAGAGCUUCAUGCCUUCGAAUUAAAAGGGUUUAAGCUCAGUGUAAUUGUUGUUGACUUGCAUAAAGAUAAGAAAGUGUCAAUGUUGCAACAGCUGGCUUUGACUUUGGCUAAAGGGUUGACUUCAAACCCAGCUGCAGUGAUUAAGACGAUUGGCGAAUUGGUUUGCGAUUUUUAUAAACUCCCAAGUGGAAUUAAGUUAUGUGAAAGAGGCAUAGGAAGAAAUCUACAACAUGCAUAAUCAGGGUAUUCAGAUGUUGGGUCAAAUAAAACACGGUUUCUGUCAUCCCCGUGCUAUUCUUUUCAAAGUUCCUGCAGAUACGGUUGGCAUCGACUGUAGGCUUAUGGUGGGUUUACCCAAGGAAGGAGAGCUGGAGAGAACCGAUUCACACAGACAUGUAAUAGUUUCUCGAAUCCGUAACAUUAGUUUACUUUACAGCUUAUUACCCGGUGAACCUAAUGUCACAAAUGUGGCAUGGGGACGCAACAAGAAUGCACCAACCGAACAAAGCACCUCCACUUCAAGUCCAGAACGGAUCAUGUGUAGUUAAAACAUGGAAUAAGUUGCUUGAAUCAACCUCCAUUGGGAAUGAACCAUGGUUCCCUGACCAUGAAUGGAAUAUUGAUUAUUCUGAACUGACAGUUGGAUCUAGCAUUGGCAUCGGAUUUUUCAGGGAAGUUUUCUGAGGCACUUGGAAUGAAUUAGAGGUUGCCAUCAAAGUCUUACUUGAACAGGAAGUAAGUGCUAAGAAUAUUGAAGAAAUCCUGUCAUGCUUAAUGAGCUUCGAGAUGCUGAUAUAGUUUUCUUGGAUUUCAAGUAAACUCCUAAUCGUUUCCAUGUUCUUAGACCACCCGUAGUGGGGGGUUUUUUGGCGUUUUUCCCAAAAAAAGGUCCAAAAACGCCCGGUAACCGUCCCCUGGAGCGCUUUUUUUGAAAAAAAUGGGUGAAGCGUGCUUUUUUUAACGCCUUGAAGUUUAUCUUUGGCCAAUAGCAUUUUUUUAUGGUUUUUAUUUUUAUUCUUUUAUUUAGUUCUAUUAGGUUAUAAUGCCUCACAAGAUUUCAAGCCUCACUACACCCCUUUUAACAUAAUGCCCAUAUGCUGACUAGACCGCCAGAUGACGUAAAACGCCCAAGGGUCUUCCCCCUCCCACUACACAUGGUCUUAAAAAUCAAGCUUGGUGAUGUAUUGAAUAUACAUACAGUUGUGGGAUUCACAUCCUUAAACCUUGCCAUUUCUAAAUCUUUUUGUCAUGUUCUUCAAUUGAAGAAACAAUCAUUUUUUUAGGUAUCAGAAUGUGGGUUCCCCAACAAGUUUUAGACAGAAAGUCUAUGUAAAUAUUAACAUUAGAGCUAAAAGAUCCUUUUUUAAUAAAUUCUUAGGGGCUGUUUGUUUA